UACAGAGGUCUCAAGCGUUGCUCGGAAUCACUGGGCGUAAAGCGCACGUAGGCGGAUUGCUAAGUCAGGGGUGAAAUCCUGGAGCUCAACUCCAGAACUGCCUUUGAUACUGGCGAUCUCGAGUCCGGGAGAGGUGAGUGGAACUGCGAGUGUAGAGGUGAAAUUCGUAGAUAUUCGCAAGAACACCAGUGGCGAAGGCGGCUCACUGGCCCGGUACUGACGCUGAGGUGCGAAAGCGUGGGGAGCAAACAGG
rnacentral:rRNA from 1 species